rnacentral:rRNA from 1 species
AACGCUGGCGGCGUGCCUAAUACAUGCAAGUCGAGCGGACGAUUCAAAAGCUUGCUUUUGAAUCGUUAGCGGCGGACGGGUGAGUAACACGUGGGCAACCUGCCCUGUAGACGGGGAUAACACCGAGAAAUCGGUGCUAAUACCGGAUAACACGAAGAACCGCAUGGUUUUUCGUUGAAAGGCGGCGCAAGCUGUCGCUACAGGAUGGGCCCGCGGCGCAUUAGCUAGUUGGUGAGGUAACGGCUCACCAAGGCGACGAUGCGUAGCCGACCUGAGAGGGUGAUCGGCCACACUGGGACUGAGACACGGCCCAGACUCCUACGGGAGGCAGCAGUAGGGAAUCUUCCGCAAUGGACGAAAGUCUGACGGAGCAACGCCGCGUGAGCGAAGAAGGCCUUCGGGUCGUAAAGCUCUGUUGUUAGGGAAGAACAAGUACCGCAGUCACUGGCGGUACCUUGACGGUACCUAACGAGAAAGCCACGGCUAACUACGUGCCAGCAGCCGCGGUAAUACGUAGGUGGCAAGCGUUGUCCGGAAUUAUUGGGCGUAAAGCGCGCGCAGGCGGUUCCUUAAGUCUGAUGUGAAAGCCCACGGCUCAACCGUGGAGGGUCAUUGGAAACUGGGGGACUUGAGUGCAGAAGAGGAGAGCGGAAUUCCGCGUGUAGCGGUGAAAUGCGUAGAGAUGUGGAGGAACACCAGUGGCGAAGGCGGCUCUCUGGUCUGUAACUGACGCUGAGGCGCGAAAGCGUGGGGAGCA